CACACACACACGCGCACACACACACACACACACACACACAUAUCCCGUUAUUGUUCUUCAGAAACACACUCGUCUGGCUUGUUGACCUUUGACCCCUGUGUGAGUAAGAGGAGCCCAGAAUGGUGCCAAUAAACGAGGACGUGCCAUUUUGGGUGGUGCUAAGCAGUGUGUGUACACUGUGUGUUCUCGUCGCCUCCACAAUCUGGUCCUGCUGGAAGAUCAGAAGAGCCAUGAGGACAGAAACACAGGACACGUACACGCUGUACACAGAGAAGACGGCGGACGAGCAGCUGGAGGAGAUAACACAUGAAGAGGAGAAGGAAGAAGAAGAAGAAGAAGAAGAAGGAGGAGAAGAAGAAGGAGACGAGGAAGAAGAAGAAGAAGAAAGCUAAAGAAACAGACAGCUCGACUGUGUUAUUAUUAUUAUUAUUAUUAUUAUUAUUAAAGCACAUUACAGUUUAAAAUGUUUUAUAAAUAUUUUUGAUAUCCACGCAGUGACUGUGACAUGACACACGACAGAAUGAAAAAGAAAGAAAUAAUUGUACAGAUUAUUGUGUAGAAUCAAAAGAAAAUAAAAAUUUAUAAAAUCA